rnacentral:RNase_P_RNA from 1 species
GCGGAGGGCCGGAUGACCGCGGGCCCGCAAGGGCGCGAGGAAAGUCCGGACUCCAAAAGGCAACGGUGCCGGGUAACGCCCGGGCGGGGCAACCCGACGGAAAGCGCCACAGAAAACAAACCGCCGUCGUGCAGGGCUUUGCCUUGCAGGCCCGACGGUCAGGGUGAAACGGUGGGGUAAGAGCCCACCGGGGGGCUGGUAACAGCCGCCGCAUGGCAAGCCCCACCGGGAGCAAUGCCGAAUAGGGACCUU